UACGGGGGGGGCAAGCGUUGUUCGGAAUUACUGGGCGUAAAGGGCUCGUAGGCGGCCAACUAAGUCAGACGUGAAAUCCCUCGGCUUAACCGGGGAACUGCGUCUGAUACUGGAUGGCUUGAGAUUGGGAGAGGGAUGCGGAAUUCCAGGUGUAGCGGUGAAAUGCGUAGAUAUCUGGAGGAACACCCGUGGCGAAAGCGGCUCUCUGGGACGGUACUGACGCUGAGACGCGAAAGCGUGGGGAGCAAACAGG
rnacentral:rRNA from 1 species